rnacentral:rRNA from 1 species
UUUAUAUGAGAGUUUGAUCCUGGCUCAGGAUGAACGCUGGCGGCGUGCCUAAUACAUGCAAGUCGAACGAGUUCUGAUUAUUGAAAGGUGCUUGCAUCUUGAUUUAAUUUUGAACGAGUGGCGGACGGGUGAGUAACACGUGGGUAACCUGCCCUUAAGUGGGGGAUAACAUUUGGAAACAGAUGCUAAUACCGCAUAAAUCCAAGAACCGCAUGGUUCUUGGCUGAAAGAUGGCGUAAGCUAUCGCUUUUGGAUGGACCCGCGGCGUAUUAGCUAGUUGGUGAGGUAACGGCUCACC